AGUCAUAUGUGUGCAUAGUUUCUGAUCUGUGCCUAGUAAUACAGUCCAUCUGUGUUUUGCAUUUAGACUGUAUUGUUCACAUACAACUUGUGGCUAAAAGCAAUUUGAGAUCUUAGUACUGGUCUAGUGAUGUUGAAAGAUAAAGUUACCACUGACCAGCCUCCAAACUCUCAAACAUGU